rnacentral:rRNA from 1 species
GACAGAGGGUGCAAACGUUGUUCGGAAUUACUGGGCGUAAAGCGCAUGUAGGCGGCCUGAUAGGUCGGAUGUGAAAUCCCUCGGCUCAACCAAGGAAGUGCAUUCGAAACCCUCAAGGCUCGAGUCCCGGAGAGGAAGGUGGAAUUCUCGGUGUAGAGGUGAAAUUCGUAGAUAUCGAGAGGAACACCGGUGGCGAAAGCGGCCUUCUGGACGAGGACUGACGCUGAGAUGCGAAAGCGUGGGGAGCAAACAGG